rnacentral:pre_miRNA from 1 species
UCUUCAUUUUACGUGUUCUCUCACCGGUCAGAGAGGCGAGAGAGCACGCGAACUGAAGAGA